GUAACCCGGAUGCGCGGUCAUGUUGGAGGCACUCGAUGUAAACACUGCGCUGUAAUGCAUGUAAACUCUGCGCUGGAUAAACGAAAACGCUGCGAUGGAUAAAGGUCAUAAACCCAAGAAAAGCUUGUCAAAAGGCGUUAUAGAUGCAAAGGCAUACAGGGAAGGACUUGGACCGGGCGAAAAAGCACGAUAUUUGAGGAAGUUAGAUUUGAUUGGUGGUGCAGAUCCCUACGAGUUGGCUCCCUCGUCUUGGAUCAAUGACGACCCGGAGAGUCUUCCGUCUGUUUGUUAUCCUGACAUCGUCAACUACCUGGUUUUCUCGCCAAGCCCAUACACAGCGGAAGACCUUAAAGCGUACAAAAGUUUGGAGGCCUAUAACCAGAUGGUGUGUGGAUGGGUGAGGGAGAUUCAAUACCAAGUCAUCGACGACAGAUGUGUUGCGAAGGCCAAAGUUCUCCAUUCUCAAUCAAUCCGAGAAACACCCCUGGAACCCUGGAUAAUCGCUGAGAAGUCUGGUCGGAUACUUGGAGCCCACUGCACGUGUAUGGCUGGCCUCGGAGAGACGUGCACACAUGUUGCUGCAUUAUUGUUUCUCAUAGAAGAAACAGUGAAUUUGAGGGACUCAGACAGUGACGCAAGAGAAGGCGUAUUGGCUGUUACCUACUGCACUGUCUAAGGUGGAAUACAGGGAAUGCCGGAAGAUUGACUUCACUGUAACCAAGAGGUCUCAAGUAAAAGAGCUGGCAGGAUGAAAUGUGCUGCUCUUGGACAGCCACUUGAGGACCCAAGUGAUACUUCCACUUCUUCUACUGUUACAGUUGGGAAACCGCAACAGCCAACCAGUGAUGAACUGUCAUCAUUAUUCAGUGCUCUUAGCGCGACUGGAUCAAAGUCUGCUAUUUUGUCCCUGAUUGAGCCUUACUCUGACAGUUUUGUUCCAAAAUCAAUUGGAGAAAAUUUACCUCUUGUGUUGACGGAAUUGCGAAAAGACGAAGCAGUUCACAUGGACUAUAGUGAGCUAUAGUGAUUGUCCACAUGCAAAGAUGUUGAAAUUUCUGUUUCAGAGGAGCAAGCAAAGGCAGUUGAGGCCGCUACAAGGGAUCAAGCUUCCUCUAAACUGUGGUUUAGAUUUCGCGCUGGUCGAAUCACAGCAUCUAAAAUGAAAACUGCAUGUUGCACUGAUCCAAAACAGCCAGCUCAGAGCUUAAUCAAAAGUGUAUGCUAUCCUGAGUCAUACAGAUUCACAUCAAAAGCCACUACCUGGGGAUGUAAUCAUGAGAAAUUUGCACGUGAUAUGUUUAUAGAUGUACAUAAGGAAUCUCAUGAAAAUGUUAAAGUACACGACACAGGUUUUUUCAUAAAUCCAAGUGUGCCAUUCUUGGGUGCUUCUCCCGAUGGCCUUGUUUCUUGUGA